GACUUAGCUCAGUGGGUAGAGCACAAAACUCUUAAUCUCACAGUCGUGGGUUCAAGCCCCACAUUGGGCA